AUUCUUCGGAUGAAGAUCUUGGUGACUGAGUGGCGGACGGGUGGAGUAACGCGUGGGUAACCUGCCUCAUACAGGGGGAUAACAGUUAGAAAUGACUGCUAAUACCGCAUAAGCGCACAGUUCCGCAUGGAACAGUGUGAAAAACUCCGGUGGUGUGAGAUGGACCCGCGUCUGAUUAGCCAGUUGGCGGGGUAACGGCCCACCAAAGCGACGAUCAGUAGCCGGCCUGAGAGGGUGAACGGCCACAUUGGGACUGAGACACGGCCCAAACUCC
rnacentral:rRNA from 1 species